GACAGAGGGUGCAAACGUUGUUCGGAAUUACUGGGCGUAAAGCGAGUGUAGGCGGUUCGGUAAGUCGGAUGUGAAAGCCCCGGGCUCAACCCGGGAAGUGCACUCGAUACUGCCGAGCUAGAGUAUCGGAGAGGUUGGUGGAAUUCUCGGUGUAGAGGUGAAAUUCGUAGAUAUCGAGAAGAACACCGGUGGCGAAGGCGGCCAACUGGACGGAAUACUGACGCUGAGACUCGAAAGCGUGGGGAGCAAACAGG
rnacentral:rRNA from 1 species